GGGGAUUUAGCUCAAUGGCCUAAGUGCCUGCCUGGCAAGCAUGAGGUCAUGAGUUUGAUCCCCAGAACCACCA
rnacentral:tRNA from 1 species